AGAGUUUGAUAUGGCUCAGGAUGAACGCUAGCGAUAGGCCUAACACAUGCAAGUCGAGGGGGCAGCACAUGAAGUAGCAAUACGGAUGGUGGCGACCGGCGCACGGGUGAGUAACGCGUAUGCAACCUGCCUACAACAGGGGGAUAACCCGUUGAAAGACGGACUAAUACCCCAUAACACAGGGAUCCCGCAUGGGAAUAUUUGUUAAAGAUUUAUCGGUUGUAGAUGGGCAUGCGUUCCAUUAGCUAGUUGGUGAGGUAACGGCUCACCAAGGCAACGAUGGAUAGGGGAACUGAGAGGUUUAUCCCCCACACUGGUACUGAGACACGGACCAGACUCCUACGGGAGGCAGCAGUGAGGAAUAUUGGUCAAUGGACGCAAGUCUGAACCAGCCACGUCGCGUGAAGGAAGACGGCCCUACGGGUUGUAAACUUCUUUUGUAAGGGAAUAAAGUGCAGUACGUGUACUGUUUUGCAUGUACCUUACGAAUAAGGAUCGGCUAACUCCGUGCCAGCAGCCGCGGUAAUACGGAGGAUCCGAGCGUUAUCCGGAUUUAUUGGGUUUAAAGGGUGCGCAGGCGGGAGAUUAAGUCGGCGGUGAAAUUUUGCAGCUCAACUGUAAAAGUGCCUUCGAAACUGGUUUUCUUGAGUGUGGAUGAAGUAGGCGGAAUUUGUGGUGUAGCGGUGAAAUGCAUAGAUAUCACGAGGAACUCCGAUUGCGCAGGCAGCUUACUAAACCAUAACUGACGCUCAGGCACGAAGGCGUGGGGAUCAAACAGGAUUAGAUACCCUGGUAGUC
rnacentral:rRNA from 1 species